AGAAUGAACGCUGGCGGCAGGCCUAACACAUGCAAGUCGAGCGGAAACGAGUUAUCUGAACCUUCGGGGAACGAUAACGGCGUCGAGCGGCGGACGGGUGAGUAAUGCCUAGGAAAUUGCCCUGAUGUGGGGGAUAACCAUUGGAAACGAUGGCUAAUACCGCAUAAUGCCUACGGGCCAAAGAGGGGGACCUUCGGGCCUCUCGCGUCAGGAUAUGCCUAGGUGGGAUUAGCUAGUUGGUGAGGUAAGGGCUCACCAAGGCGACGAUCCCUAGCUGGUCUGAGAGGAUGAUCAGCCACACUGGAACUGAGACACGGUCCAGACUCCUACGGGAGGCAGCAGUGGGGAAUAUUGCACAAUGGGCGCAAGCCUGAUGCAGCCAUGCCGCGUGUGUGAAGAAGGCCUUCGGGUUGUAAAGCACUUUCAGUCGUGAGGAAGGUAGUGUAGUUAAUAGCUGCAUUAUUUGACGUUAGCGACAGAAGAAGCACCGGCUAAUC
rnacentral:rRNA from 1 species